UUAUAAAGGCUUUUUUUGGACUUCUUUUGCGGCUUGCAUCAGCACUGUGCUUGAGCUGGGAGCUGCCAGCUUGCGGACGGGCUUCUGAGUCACCGGGGAGGUGCUGGCACACUGGCGGCACGGUGUAAACACUCUAUGGAAGUGUUACCGGUCAUUGGCUGCAGACACUUGCUUGUGAGCAGUCCUGGGUACCUGCCCUGAAGAAAGGAAGAACUACAUUCCCCAGCGGACUUUGCGGUCAGGGAGAGGAGGUUUAACUCCUGGCAAGGCCAUCUGAUUUCUCUUUCUUGCCUGCCUUUUGUCGUGGACACUGCUCCUGUCUCCCUGCUGCUCAACUGGACCGCGCAUCUCACCUCAGUGCUGUGAUCUGCGGAUCCCUCCGCCCCUCCCGUCACGGAACCGGGCCGAACUAGCCCGUAAACCGGUGACAAGCUGGGAGCUGCCAGCUUGCGGACGGGCUUCUGAGUCACCAGGAACGUGCUGGCACAUUGGCAGCACGGUUUAAACACCCUAUGGAAGUGCUGUCGGUCACUUGCUGCGGAGUCCUGCUUCUGAGCAGGACUUCUUUUGAGGCUAGCAUGAGCACUGCGCUUGAGCUGGGAGCUGCCAGCUUGCGGACGGGCUUCUGAGUCUCCAGGGAGGUGCUGGCACAUUGGCAGCUCGGUUUAAAUAACCUGUGGAAGUGUUAUUGGUCAUUUGCUGCAGAGUCUUGCUUCUGAGCAGGUAAGUCUGUGCGGGCCAAGGAUCUGGAGUGAGAAAAGGCUAACCAAAAAGCUCUUUUUAAGGCUUUUCUUAUGACAGGGUUGAGGCUAGCAUGAGCACUGCACUUGAGCUGGGAGCUGGCAGCUUGUGGGUGGGCUCCAGAGUCACCAGUGGAGGAGCUGGCACACUGGCGGCACGGUUUAAACACCCUAAGGAAGUGCUGUUGGUCACUUGCUGCGGAGUCCUGCUUCUGAGCGGGACCUCUUUUGAUGCAAGCAUCACCACUGUGCUUGAGCUGGGAGCUGCCAGCUUGCGGAUGGGCUUCUGAGUCACCAGGGAGGUGCUGGCACAUUGGCAGCACGGUUUAAACACGCUAUGGAAGUGUUAUCGGUCCUUUGCUGCUGAGACUUGCUUCUGAGCAGGCUUCUUCUGGGGACACCGGCUGCCCAUGGACCGAACAGUUCUUUGGGUAAGGAACUGGCCACAAGGCCGUGCUCAGUGGGUCGUGGUGAAUGGAGUGAAGUCCAGCUGGUGACCCAUUUCAAGUGGUGUCCCCCAGGGGUAGGUACUGGGGCUGUUUAAUAUCUUCACUGAUGACCUAGAUGAGGGGAUUGAGCGCACCCUCAGCAAGUUUGCAGAUGACACGAAGCUGGAAGGUGGUGUGAUCUGCCUUAGGGUAGGGCUGCCCUUCAGAGGGAUUUAGACAGCCUGGACCGCUGGGCUGAGGUGAAUGGGCUGAGUUGAAACACUUCUGUCUCUUUUUCUUCAUUUUCUUUUAUGUAAUAAAAAAGAAAUCACCCUUGAUUCUAUCUACAAGAAACAAUGUAGUAAAGAAAAGAAGAUAGUCCAUGCUCAAAAUGAAAGUAUAAAAAGGAUACCACUACUGAGUGGAUAUAUCAGUUCGAAGAAGUGAAAACGAUGGAAUAACUAAUGUAACAGAGUUUUUCAGUUACCACAAAUGAUUGCCUAGCAGGGUGAGUUCUAAAACAUGUUUACAUGAUCUGGGAAGUUGUUUGCAUUAAAAAAAGUGUUGUAAAUAAAGUACAAGUGUAAUUGCUGAAUCCAUUGUAAUACAGCAGAGUUGGAUUGUUAAAAAUCACAAGAUGCUAAGAAAAGGCAAUGUAUAUUUUUUUUGUGUGAGAAAUAAAGUAAAAACAGUAUAAUUAUUUUUAAACUUUGCAGUAAGGCAACAGAUGUUGACACCACUGAGGAAAGCUGUAAGUAUAAACAACGGUGGGUAAAGCUAAUGGUGGAUGAAAUUGCGCAGCACGUGCGCAGUGUCCAGGGGACCAGGCCCAGCCAGCACGGGUUUGUGAAAGGCAGGUAAUGCUUGACCAACCUCCUCUCGUUCUAUGAGUGGGUGACUAGUCUGGUAGAUGAGGGAAGGGCUGUUGACGUAGUAUUACUAGACUUCAACAAAACUUUUGACGUGGUCCCUCACAGGCUUCUUCUGGGGACACCGGCUGCCCAUGGACCGAACAGUUCUUUGGGUAAGGAACUGGCCACAAGGCCGUGCUCAGUGGGUCGUGGUGAAUGGAGUGAAGUCCAGCUGGUGACCCAUUUCAAGUGGUGUCCCCCAGGGGUAGGUACUGGGGCUGUUUAAUAUCUUCACUGAUGACCUAGAUGAGGGGAUUGAGCGCACCCUCAGCAAGUUUGCAGAUGACACGAAGCUGGAAGGUGGUGUGAUCUGCCUUAGGGUAGGGCUGCCCUUCAGAGGGAUUUAGACAGCCUGGACCGCUGGGCUGAGGUGAAUGGGAUGAGGUUUUACAAGGCCGAGUGUGGGGUCCUGCUCUUUGGGCGCAGCAAUCCCAUGCAGUGUUAUAGGCUUGGGGACGAGUGUGAAGAAGAGAAGGACCUGGGGGUAUUGGUUGAUGCUCAGCUGAACAUGAGCCAACAGUGUGCGCAGGUGGCCAAGAGGGCCAACAGCAUCCUGGCCUGCAUUAGAAUUAGCGUGGCCGGCAGGAGCAGGGAGGUGAUCAUCCCCCUCUACUCAGCACUGGUGAGGCCGCACCUCAAGUACUGUGUUCAGUUUUAGGCUCCUCACUGCAGGAAAGAUGUUCACAUCCUGGAGCGUGUCCAGAGAAUAGCAAUAAAACCGGAGAGGGGUCUGGAGCACAAGUCUUAUGAGGAGCGGCCGAUGGAGCUGGGAUUGUUCAGUGUGGAGAAGAGGAGGCUCAGGGGAGACCUCAUUGCACUCUACAACUUCCUGAAGGGAGGUUGUAGUGAAGAGGGGUUUGGCCUCUUCUCCCAGGCAACAAGCAGGACACGGGGUAAUGGCCGCAAGUUGUACCAGAGGAGGUUUAGAUUAGACGCAAGAAAGAACUUGUUUUUUCAGAGUGGUCAGGCACUGGAAUGGCCUGCCCAGGGAGGUGGUGCAGUCGCUGUCCCUGGCAGUGUUCAACACGCGUCUGGAUGACGUGCUGCAUGAUAGGGUUUAGUGCUUGUGGUGGCAAUGGUGAUGAGGAGACGAUUGGACUGGAUGAUCUUGUAGGUAGUUUGCAACCUUGGGAUUCUAUGAUUCUAUAAACAUUGUAACAAUAUUCUUAAGGCUGCCCUGAAGACAGACUCCCAGUCCCUGCAGGGGUGGACGAAAAGAUUCUAUGAAACCCUGCGGGACCUGAAUGAAAGACCUCAAGAUGGCAGACCCAGUGCCCGGAGAAUGUUGCGGACAACAUGGGCCACCCCGCUUAGGAUCCCAAUUACAGGCACGGAUCAUCAGGUAAGAGCCCAAAUGGGUAACGAAAAUAAUAUUCUGUUCCCUGCCCCUGAGAAUUUAGAUCCGGGUGCCCAUAAAAUAAAAUGGCCCCAGAAGGUGCUGGUAAAACCCAAGCGGUAUGGCCUACUUGCACCUCGGGAGAGACUAUUGGAGGAGGGAGGCUAAGUAGUCCCUCCAGUAAUAGGUACAUGGCCUACUGAUAUUGUGGUCAACUCUCCGAUCUUUAUUGCUAAAGGGAC